rnacentral:rRNA from 1 species
GACGAACGCUGGCGGCGUGCUUAACACAUGCAAGUCGAACGGAAAGGCCCUGCUUUUGUGGGGUGCUCGAGUGGCGAACGGGUGAGUAACACGUGAGUAACCUGCCCUUGACUUUGGGAUAACUUCAGGAAACCGGGGCUAAUACCGGAUAGGAGCUCCUGCUGCAUGGUGGGGGUUGGAAAGUUUCGGCGGUUGGGGAUGGACUCGCGGCUUAUCAGCUUGUUGGUGGGGUAGUGGCUUACCAAGGCUUUGACGGGUAGCCGGCCUGAGAGGGUGACCGGCCACAUUGGGACUGAGAUACGGCCCAGACUCCUACGGGAGGCAGCAGUGGGGAAUAUUGCACAAUGGGCGGAAGCCUGAUGCAGCAACGCCGCGUGCGGGAUGACGGCCUUCGGGUUGUAAACCGCUUUCGCCUGAGACGAAGCGUGAGUGACGGUAAUGGGUAAAGAAGCACCGGCUAACUACGUG